rnacentral:rRNA from 1 species
UACGUAGGGUGCAAGCGUUGUCCGGAAUUAUUGGGCGUAAAGAGCUCGUAGGCGGUCUGUCGCGUCGGCUGUGAAAACUCGGGGGCUCAACCCCGAGCCUGCAGUCGAUACGGGCAGACUAGAGUGCUGUAGGGGAGACUGGAAUUCCUGGUGUAGCGGUGAAAUGCGCAGAUAUCAGGAGGAACACCGGUGGCGAAGGCGGGUCUCUGGGCAGUAACUGACGCUGAGGAGCGAAAGCGUGGGGAGCAAACAGG